UGUUCCUAAAAGAAAAAGCAAUAUUAUGUGGGUCUAUUUUAAUCUUCUGUUUCAAAACUGUAAAAAUUAUUAAAACUACCUCACUUUUCUGGAGAUCUACAGUUUAACUGAAUAAAGUACCGCAUAAGUAAUACGUCUUAAAGAAACACACUUUCAGGAAGUGGUACUCAGUAACAUUUCCCCCUUUCAAGGAGACUGUUCUCCUGACCCAGUUCUUAAGAAUGGAUGCAAGGAAAAGCCUCUGGCCACGUAGCCAGUUUCUUUGAGCAAAAAUAAGGUUAUAGUGUGUGAUUAUCACAUGUUAAAUGAAAAGACCAAAAAGUCACUUCUAUUUUUCCUUUAAUAAAACUUAAAUCUCAGGAACAUGGUUCCAAGAAGACAGUUGAAGUGGCUUUUCUUCCUCCUGCCAGGGGAAAAGGAAGUACUGGGGAAGAUCAUCACUACGUGUGGGUUUUAUGGUUCUGGGGUUCCCUGGAAUACCCAGCCAAGUGCUGGCUGCUCGGACACUUUUCUGGCCUCUUCCCUUAUCCCUCCAGAGGAGAGGAAGCUGGCUCACUCACUCGAAAUGGCUGCUGGAGGGGCAUCUACUUCUACUUUAAGGGCAACCAUAAGAAUAACCUGAGCGAGUGGGAGGAAAAUUAUUGUUCAGCUUGACCAUUUUAGGAAAGACUGCUUUCAUGCAAAAAGAACAAGCCUUCAUAGGGGCAGAGAGCUGAUGAGUCCACACAGGGCUCUGAAAUCUGUGAGCAGCCAAAGAUGAGAAAAUGUAGGCAAAAAGAGCUGAAGUUAAUUGCCUGAGGUGACACGACUUAAAAAAGUCAGAGGAGGUCCUAAGCGCUUAACCACAGCACCCACUGCCUCUCAUAGGUGAUGAGAAAGGCCAAACUAGAAAUUCAGAUUUCUAGUCAGCUCACUCUCAGACAGACUCGCUUCUAAAGUUGAGGAGCUAGAUGCAGGAGAAAACUCAAGGAGCAGCCGGAGAGGAGAGCUUCCCUUCCUUACAUAACUCCUAAACAGUACCUGCCUUUGUGGAAAGAGGAAGUGAGUUCAAACUGAAAUCUCACUGCAACUUUGUUAUCAAAGGAGUUUCGGGCUUUAGUUCUGUUCCCCACAUUGGGGCCUUAGGGCGAACACGACAUUUCACCUUUUGGGAAAAUGAAACUUUGAGGUGUUCUGAAUGAAACCGUAACAGCAAGGGCAGGUGACAAAGGAAGCCCGCGUUUUGAUGCAGUGCUCAAUCACCAUGUCUGUGGCCACUCCGCAAGCAUGCAGUGCCACCUGGAAAACAAAACCAGACGUCAGCACUGAGCUCCUGCCUCACCAGCACUCCUGCUUCUGUGCCUUCUUCUUUCUUUCUUUCCCUUUUUUUUUUAACUCUUUGUGAGCAUGUGAGGACUGAUCCCCUGGAGGUUUCAAGUUACCAGAACAUUAUUCCAUAAUAGUUUAGAUAGUUCCCAUCUGGACAUACCAAAGGGCUAGUCAGCUAUUCAUAUUAAUUAAGAAAGCUAAGCAAGGCUGAGAGAUUACAAAUGGAACGCUGCAAAGGAAGCACAAGAUUUAUUCAAUGGAAAAUCUGACAUGAUGUUAAAUAUGGAAAAUUCAAUAUGUAUGCACGUCUAAGCUGGUGCUCUUGGUGAUUAUUAAUUUAGUUCAGUUGUAGCAUUGUGGCAAGAACACGAGAUUGAAAUCUGAAUGUCUAGUUUCAAACUGUAGUAGCCUAUGAGAUCCUGGGCCAUAUAAAAUUUAACUUCCUUGGGCCUCGGUCUGCUUAACUAUAAACUAUAGUUAACAGUACUGACAUAUAACAAUGAUGUUGCAAAAACUAAAUAAAAACAUAUUCAAAAACAUUCUUUCAAUACUACAUGAACAUAAUCUAAACAACGUUCUAGGAAAACUGAUCAAAUCAUAUUUAUGGAUCCCCUUUUCAUAUUCAUAUAACAGGUCAUAUAAUUCAUAAAAAUAAUAAUUUAUACAUAAUUCAUAUUUAUGAAUUCAACAAUUCAUAAAAAAAUCCCUAAAAAUGAUCUUAAGAUGUUUUCAAAACAAAUUCCUUAAAUAUACCUAUAUUGUGACACAAUCUAAAGUAGACAAUUAUGAAAACUAUUAGGCUAAAUAAAGCAAAACAGGACCCUAUGAAAAAAAAAUCUGAUAUGGGGAUCUUAAAAAAAUAUAGUAUUUUGUCAGAAAUAUGCUCAGAUCUCUGACAACUUCAAGGUAGAGAGGGUCUUUCAGAGUGAAGAGGAGAUUUUCUGGAAAUUUCUGAAUGUGAGUAUCAUAAGUUAGAUUCCCUUCUUAAACUGGAAAACCAAAAGCUAUGCUGUAUUGGGAAGAGGAAAGCAUGAUUUCUGCUCUCAAUCCUUCUUCUGAAUUUCCCCUCCUUUUAGGCUUAUAUUGAUUUAGAAGUCAACCGUCCCUGUGGUUGUUGUCAAUCCUCUUUCACUCUGAAAAUCAAGCCUGGGAAGGUUGCCAUUCGGUGGAGGCAGCCACUACUGGAUAACUGCAAGUAAAGAACUUUGAUUUCUCAUCUGUCCCUUUUAUUUAAUCAGCUUUGCAGGGUAAAAAUCAGGCUAGUUCUUAUUUUCAUGAGUAGCUAGAGAAAACCUCACCAUUAAAGUUGUAGAUGCAUAUUCCCCUGGAGGGGAAGAAAAGAGAACUAACACUCCCUGAGUGCCCUUUAUGUGGGGACACUAGGAUGGGUGAAGGCAUGCAGAUCUUUCUAUGCCUACAAGGGCCCUGAAAGAUUUUUAUCUCUGUUUUAGAAGUAAGAAAACUAAGGCUCAGAGAAAUUAAGAACAUGCCCACAACAAAGCAGAUUCUGAGCGGCAGGAUCCUGACCCCAGAGCCUGAACCCAUACGUUAAUUACAUCAGGCUGCUUCUCUGCAAAACUCUUUUAAGAAUCUUAAAAGUAUGGACAAUUUACUUUUAUAAAUCUCUCUUCACUUAGGUUCACACUUCCUUUGCUACAGGCAAAAUAAUGAGUUUAUUUCCCUCACUUAAACAAAACAACUAAAUCUAAGAACUGUUUACCCAAUGGAUUUUAGUCCUAAAAGGUUUUAUUGCUUCAUAUGCUCCUAAUUUCCAUUGUUACCAAAUGCAGAUCAGAAAGAACAGGCAAAUAACGAAGAGAGAUAUAGAUCAAUAGAACAAUCUGAAUAUGAACAUUGAGCAUAAAACAAAUGUGGCAUUUCAAACCACUGGGAAAAAGACAUACUUUUAAUUCAUUUUUUUUAAGAUUUUAUUUUUAAGUAAUCUCUAUUCCCAACAUGGGGCUCAAACUUACAACCCUGAGAUCAAAAGUUGCAUGCUCUACCAACUAAGUCAUCUAGGUGCCCUGAAGAUGGGCUUUUUAAUAAGUGAUGUUGAGUUAACUUGACAGCCAUAUGAAAAAUAAAAUGAGACCUUUUCCUCUCACCACACAUAGUAUAUUUCAAGUGGAUUAGAGAUUUUAAAGCACAAAACAACAACCACCAAUAAUGAAUUCCUCUAUAACCUAGGGGAGUGGAAAUACUUAACUAUGUCUGAAAUUCUAUAUACAAUAAAGAGUAAGUUAAUACAUUUGACAAAAAUGAAAAAAAUUAGAUGGCAAAGAAACAAAAACCAUACAUAAAAAGACAAAUGACAAAGUGAGAAAAAAAUUGGCAACUUAAAACAUUAACAAAAAGUUAAUAUCCCUAAUACAUAUCAAGUUUCUGAAAAUAAAGAGAAGUAUAUAAUCUGAUAGUAAAAUGGACAAAAGAUUUGGAAAAUCCAGAAACAAAAAUAUGUGAAUAUUGUCUUAAACCAAAGUUGUUCAAUAUUGUUCAAAAUAAGAGAACUAUUACAUUAAGAUACUACUUAUCACCCAUUAAAGUGGCAAAAUUCUAAAAUUUGAUGACAAUCUAUGGGCCAGGGUAUGGGGAAACAGAUAAUGUCAUACAUUGCUGGUGGGAAUAUAAAAACAUCACAACCCCAUGAAGGAGGAAUUUAGCAAUAUCCAGCAAAAUUACAUGAGUAAUUUGCGAACUCACUUCUAAAAAUCUGUUCAAGGGAGACACUGGCCAAAACAUAAAAAGAUUUAUUCAUUGAAGUAAUAUUUGAAAUAACAACAAGAUGGAAACAAGCCAAUUUUCCAUUGAAAGAGGACUCGCGGCUUGCUCUGAAGUUCUAAAAAGGAAUGAGGAACAUUUCUCUACAGGGCCAUGGUAGAGAUUAUUAAGUGAAAACUAAUGUUAAAACAGUUCUCAAACUAUUUUCAGUAACCAUCACUGGUGUCUGUAUUUUUGUUUUAAGACUCAAAUGUGUAUAUUGUGAGAUAAAGCAAAUAAGAAAUAUGCUAAUGGUGCCAUUAGGAAACAGAGCUUUUUUUUUUUUUUUUUUUUUUUUUAAA